CCUACGGGGGGCAGCAGUGAGGAAUAUUGGUCAAUGGGCGGAAGCCUGAACCAGCCAAGUCGCGUGAGGGAUUAAGGCCCUACGGGUUGUAAACCUCUUUUGCCGGGGAGCAAGUUCCGCCACGUGUCCCGGCCUCGAGAGUACCCGGAGAAAAAGCAUCGGCUAACUCCGUGCCAGCAGCCGCGGUAAUACGGAGGAUGCGAGCGUUAUCCGGAUUUAUUGGGUUUAAAGGGUGCGUAGGCGGGCUUUCAAGUCAGCGGUAAAAUUUCGGGGCUCAACCCCGUCCGGCCGUUGAAACUGGGGGCCUUGAGUGGGCGAGAAGGAGGCGGAAUGCGUGGUGUAGCGGUGAAAUGCAUAGAUAUCACGCAGAACCCCGAUUGCGAAGGCAGCAUUCCGGCGCCCUACUGACGCUGAAGCACGAAAGUGCGGGGAUCGAACAGGAUUAGAUACCCUUGUAGUC
rnacentral:rRNA from 1 species